rnacentral:rRNA from 1 species
AUGAGACAGCGGCUUCAGGCAGGGAGAUACUGGAGGUGGCUCGAUCGUCGCCUGACAGGCUGGACAGGUGGCAGAGGUGGAGGUCGUGCGAGGCGGCUCUUCGGCCGAUCUGUUCAUUCAAGCCCUUGCCCCUUGGUUGCCUGCCUUGCUAGCAAGCACGACCACUGCCAUGUCUUCUCCGGUGCUACCAGCAAGCGGCCGACCAUGCCGCUGCCAUGCCUCCGGCGCUCCCUGGCAGCCAGCCCUACAUGUCCAAAUUUGAAAAGGAAGAGUAAGAAGAAAUCCAUGAAAGAAAGAUGGUUGAUCGGCUGA